rnacentral:rRNA from 1 species
UAGAGUUUGAUCCUGGCUCAGAUUGAACGCUGGCGGCAUGCCUAACACAUGCAAGUCGAACGGAAACGAUGGGAGCUCGCUCCCAGGCGUCGAGUGGCGGACGGGUGAGUAAUGCCUGGGAAUCUGCCCAGUAGUGGGGGACAACUUCCGGAAACGGGAGCUAAUACCGCAUACGUCCCCUUGUUUAAUUACAAGGAAAGAAAGUGGGGGAUCUUCGGACCUCACGCUAUUGGAUGAGCCCAAGUCGGAUUAGCUUGUUGGUGGGGUAAAGGCCUGCCAAGGCGACGAUCCGUAGCUGGUCUGAGAGGACGAUCAGCCACACUGGGACUGAGACACGGCCCAGACUCCUACGGGAGGCAGCAGUGGGGAAUAUUGGACAAUGGGGGCAACCCUGAUCCAGCAAUGCCGCGUGUGUGAAGAAGGCCUGCGGGUUGUAAAGCACUUUCAGCAGGGAAGAAAUGCCUGGAGUUAAUAACUUCGGGUCUUGACGUCACCUACAGAAGAAGCACCGGCUAACUCCGUGCCAGCAGCCGCGGUAAUACGGAGGGUGCGAGCGUUAAUCGGAAUUACUGGGCGUAAAGCGCGCGUAGGCGGCUUGGUCAGUCGGAUGUGAAAGCCCCGGGCUUAACCUGGGAAUUGCAUUCGAAACUGCCGAGCUAGAGUAUGGGAGAGGGAAGUGGAAUUUCCGGUGUAGCGGUGAAAUGCGUAGAUAUCGGAAGGAACACCAGUGGCGAAGGCGACUUCCUGGCCCAAUACUGACGCUGAGGUGCGAAAGCGUGGGUAGCGAACAGGAUUAGAUACCCUGGUAGUCCACGCCGUAAACGAUGAGAACUAGAUGUCGGAAGGAUCUACCUUUCGGUGUCGCAGCUAACGCGUUAAGUUCUCCGCCUGG